UUCAAUUUGGAGAGGCAAGAAAUUAUAACUGUUUAGUGAAUUGAGAAGGACACGGACUAGAACUGAUAAAGAUAUUGACCCUAUGUCUCCCUACUCCUAAAAUCACCACUUGAGGCUUCCAACCAUGGGUGGAGAAACUUUCCAAUGCUAAUAAAGACCUCUGUCAAUCACCAUACUGAUACAAAAAGUAAAAGGCCAUGGCAUUCAGUGCAGCUUUCUGGACUCAUACUGUCUCCAGAAGCUGAAUGUUACUUUGGUGUGGAUCUUUGAUGAUUCCUACAUGAUAAGUCCUAUUUUAAGACCUCACAUCACCAUCACCACUACCACCACCAUCCCCUUAGGCAGAUGCGUGCCUUGAUUGGAGAAGAGAAAAAAAUAUUUCAGACAAAAAAAAAGGAAAAAAGUCAAAUAAUUUUUAAAAGGUAAUGUUAUAUAGAUAUGAAACUAAAACUGUAUCAUACAUAAAUAAAUAUAUGAACUGCUCAAAGA